UACGGAGGGUGCAAGCGUUAUCCGGAUUUAUUGGGUUUAAAGGGAGCGUAGGCGGGAUAGUAAGUCAGCGGUGAAAUCUUCCGGCUCAACCGGGAAACUGCCAUUGAUACUGCUAACCUAGAGUACACUUGAAGUGGGCGGAAUGUGUCAUGUAGCGGUGAAAUGCUUAGAUAUGACACAGAACACCAAUUGCGUAGGCAGCUCACUAAAUUGUAACUGACGCUGAGGCUCGAAAGCGUGGGGAUCAAACAGG
rnacentral:rRNA from 1 species